CCCUAGCGUUGCAAACAUGUUGCAAACACCAUGCUCUACCAACUGAGCCACACGGGAUCAGUUGGUACACAUCUGACAACGUGACCAAGAAGGAUGUCCAGUGACCUUAUAUAGAUGGGUUAGCUGACAACGUGACCAGGAAGGAUGUCCAGUGACCUUAUAUAGAUGGGUUAGCUGACAACGUGACCAAGAAGGAUGACCUGUGACCUUAUAUAGACGGGUUAGCUGACAACGUGACCAGGAAGGAUGACCUGUGACCUUAUAUAGACGGGUUAGCUGACAACGUGACCAAGAAGGAUGACCUGUGACCUUAUAUAGACGGGUUAGCUGACAACGUGACCAGGAAGGAUGUCCUGUGACCUUAUAUAGACGGGUUAGCUGACAACGUGACCAGGAAGGAUGUCCAGUGACCUUAUAUAGAUGGGUUAGCUGACAACGUGACCAAGAAGGAUGACCUGUGACCUUAUAUAGACGGGUUAGCUGACAACGUGACCAGGAAGGAUGUCCUGUGACCUUAUAUAGACGGGUUAGCUGACAACGUGACCAGGAAGGAUGUCCUGUGACCUUAUAUAGACGGGUUAGCUGACAACGUGACCAAGAAGGAUGACCUGUGACCUUAUAUAGACGGGUUAGCUGACAACGUGACCAGGAAGGAUGUCCUGUGACCUUAUAUAGACGGGUUAGCUGACAACGUGACCAGGAAGGAUGUCCUGUGACCUUAUAUAGACGGGUUAGCUGACAACGUGACCAGGAAGGAUGUCCUGUGACCUUAUAUAGACGGGUUAGCUGACAACGUGACCAAGAAGGAUGUGUGCAGAAGUCAUUGGGCAGAAGUCAUCGUGUUAUGAUUCUGGAAGGUCAGAUAGCAGCGUUGACAAGAAACUGCCCUGUCGGGAAUCGAUCCCGUCUUGGCAUGUUGGUAAAGGCUGCUUUGCUGCUAAUAGAUGCAGGUCCGGUGUCUACCUCACGUCAGUCAUUUAAUGGCUAACUUAAUGACAGUCUGAUGGGGGACGAGGACGUGGGGGCUACAAACACACCAAACAGAAAACCUUGCUGGUGUCCGUAGCAACUGGCGGAAGCUUGAGGCCGAAUAAUGGUGAUGACUAGCACAGGGAGGAUGUCGCGGUCUGAAAGGUAUGUGCAUUCUAUGUUUCAUGAAAGAACAUCAGAAAAUCCAAGUUUCAACUGCUUAAAACCUGUUGGGGCUAGGGGGCAGUAUUUGCACGGCCGGAUAAAAAACAUACCCGAUUUAAACUGGUUACUACUCUUGCCCAGAAAUGAGAAUAUGCAUAUAAUUAGUAGAUUUGGAUAG
rnacentral:lncRNA from 1 species